UGAUUCCUGGUAACCUACCUGGUUUGGUGCCAGCCAUGACUGAACCACCUGCCCAGAGAGUCUUGAAAAAGGGCCAAGUCCUAGGGGCCAUCCAGAUCCUGAUUGGCCUGGUGCACAUCGGCCUGGGCUCCAUCAUGAUCACCAACCUCUUCAGCCUCUAUACACCUGUCUCCCUCUAUGGAGGUUUCCCCUUCUGGGGAGGCAUCUGGCUGAACGGCAGUGUGGGCUUGAACAUCUUCAGUGCCAUCUGUUCUGCAGUGGGCAUCAUUCUCUUCAUCACAGACAUCAGUAUCUCAGGAGGAUAUGUCUACCCUGACUACUACCCUUAUCAUGACUACGGCGUGGUAGAUGUGGUCAUUCCUAAUGUCUAUGCAACAAACACGGUGGUCUUCCCAGAACCACCCAACCCAAUACCAAGUUAUUCCGAUGCAAUUCGAGACUCCAGAUAAGUGAAGCUGAAGAUUGUAGAAGAAUCCUUUGUUGAGACCAAGUGACAUCCUCUCUUACCUAGACUUCUGUGAGCCAGGGUCUUCUUUUCCUGACAAACUUGGGGAAAUGUCUUUCUUAUGGCCUAAAUUGUGGACUCUUGCUUCAACUCACCCUGGAAAAAUCUCUAUUAAAAGAAGAUUGGAGAUUGAAAUGGAUUUAAACAAAGAUGUCCUACCAGGACACAUGCAUCUGUAUGGUGUACAGCAGCCUUGGUGUACAGACAUUUAUGUGACCCCUGCCUACAGGAGCUUUGGGGAUAGAGAAAUGGCUAUUUCAUCAUCCGAACUUCCCUGUCAGUCAUUCAGUCAUUUAAUAAAUACAUAUUGAGCAUCAG
rnacentral:lncRNA from 1 species